rnacentral:rRNA from 1 species
UACAGAGGGUGCAAGCGUUGUUCGGAAUUACUGGGCGUAAAGCGCGUGUAGGUGGCGAUGUAAGUCGGGUGUGAAAUCCCUCAGCUUAACUGAGGAAGUGCACUCGAUACUGUGUCGCUUGAGUGUUGGAGGGGAUGGCGGAAUUCCCGGUGUAGAGGUGAAAUUCGUAGAUAUCGGGAGGAACACCUGUGGCGAAGGCGGCCAUCUGGGACAACUACUGAGCUGAGGCGCGAAGACUAGGGGAGGCAAAACAGG